GCCGGGGUAGCUCAGUUGGUCAGAGCGCUGGAUUGUGGAUCCAGAGGUCAAGGGUUCGACCCCCUUCCCCGGUACCA
rnacentral:tRNA from 1 species